ACGGGAGGCAGCAGUGGGGAAUAUUGGACAAUGGGCGCAAGCCUGAUCCAGCGACGCCGCGUGAGCGAUGAAGUAUUUCGGUAUGUAAAGCUCUAUCAGCAGGGAAGAAAAUGACGGUACUUGACUAAGAAGCCCCGGCUAACUACGUGCCAGCAGCCGCGGUAAUACGUAGGGGGCAAGCGUUAUCCGGAUUUACUGGGUGUAAAGGGAGCGUAGACGGCAAAGCAAGUCUGAAGUGAAAGCCCCGGGCUCAACCCGGGAACUGCUUUGGAAACUGUUUAGCUAGAGUGCAGGAGAGGUAAGUGGAAUUCCUAGUGUAGCGGUGAAAUGCGUAGAUAUUAGGAGGAACACCAGUGGCGAAGGCGGCUUACUGGACUGUAACUGACGUUGAGGCUCGAAAGCGUGGGGAGCAAACAGGAUUAGAUACCCUGGUA
rnacentral:rRNA from 1 species